rnacentral:rRNA from 1 species
GAUGAACGCUGGCGGCGUGCCUAAUACAUGCAAGUCGAGCGAACGGACGAGAAGCUUGCUUCUCUGAUGUUAGCGGCGGACGGGUGAGUAACACGUGGAUAACCUACCUAUAAGACUGGGAUAACUUCGGGAAACCGGAGCUAAUACCGGAUAAUAUUUUGAACCGCAUGGUUCAAAAGUGAAAGACGGUCUUGCUGUCACUUAUAGAUGGAUCCGCGCUGCAUUAGCUAGUUGGUAAGGUAACGGCUUACCAAGGCAACGAUGCAUAGCCGACCUGAGAGGGUGAUCGGCCACACUGGAACUGAGACACGGUCCAGACUCCUACGGGAGGCAGCAGUAGGGAAUCUUCCGCAAUGGGCGAAAGCCUGACGGAGCAACGCCGCGUGAGUGGUGAAGGUCUUCGGAUCGUAAAACUCUGUUAUUAGGGAAGAACAUAUGUGUAAGUAACUGUGCACAUCUUGACGGUACCUAAUCAGAAAGCCACGGCUAACUACGUGCCAGCAGCCGCGGUAAUACGUAGGUGGCAAGCGUUAUCCGGAAUUAUUGGGCGUAAAGCGCGCGUAGCGGUUUUUUAGUCUGAUGUGAAAGCCCACGGCUCAACCGUGGAGGGUCAUUGGAAACUGGAAAACUUGAGUGCAGAAGAGGAAAGUGGAAUUCCAUGUGUAGCGGUGAAAUGCGCAGAGAUAUGGAGGAACACCAGUGGCGAAGGCGACUUUCUGGUCUGUAACUGACGCUGAUGUGCGAAAGCGUGGGGAUCAAACAGGAUUAGAUACCCUGGUAGUCCACGCCGUAAACGAUGAGUGCUAAGUGUUAGGGGGUUUCCGCCCCUUAGUGCUGCAGCUAACGCAUUAAGCACUCCGCCUGGGGAGUACGACCGCAAGGUUGAAACUCAAAGGAAUUGACGGGGACCCGCACAAGCGGUGGAGCAUGUGGUUUAAUUCGAAGCAACGCGAAGAACCUUACCAAAUCUUGACAUCCUUUGACAACUCUAGAGAUAGAGCCUUCCCCUUCGGGGGACAAAGUGACAGGUGGUGCAUGGUUGUCGUCAGCUCGUGUCGUGAGAUGUUGGGUUAAGUCCCGCAACGAGCGCAACCCUUAAGCUUAGUUGCCAUCAUUAAGUUGGGCACUCUAAGUUGACUGCCGGUGACAAACCGGAGGAAGGUGGGGAUGACGUCAAAUCAUCAUGCCCCUUAUGAUUUGGGCUACACACGUGCUACAAUGGACAAUACAAAGGGCAGCGAAACCGCGAGGUCAAGCAAAUCCCAUAAAGUUGUUCUCAGUUCGGAUUGUAGUCUGCAACUCGACUACAUGAAGCUGGAAUCGCUAGUAAUCGUAGAUCAGCAUGCUACGGUGAAUACGUUCCCGGGUCU